rnacentral:rRNA from 1 species
ACGAACUCUGGUAUUGAUUGGUGCUUGCAUCAUGAUUUACAUUUGAGUGAGUGGCGAACUGGUGAGUAACACGUGGGAAACCUGCCCAGAAGCGGGGGAUAACACCUGGAAACAGAUGCUAAUACCGCAUAACAACUUGGACCGCAUGGUCCGAGUUUGAAAGAUGGCUUCAGCUAUCACUUUUGGAUGGUCCCGCGGCGUAUUAGCUAGAUGGUGGGGUAACGGCUCACCAUGGCAAUGAUACGUAGCCGACCUGAGAGGGUAAUCGGCCACAUUGGGACUGAGACACGGCCCAAACUCCUACGGGAGGCAGCAGUAGGGAAUCUUCCACAAUGGACGAAAGUCUGAUGGAGCAACGCCGCGUGAGUGAAGAAGGGUUUCGGCUCGUAAAACUCUGUUGUUAAAGAAGAAUAUAUCUGAGAGUAACUGUUCAGGUAUUGACGGUAUUUAACCAGAAAGCCACGGCUAACUACGUGCCAGCAGCCGCGGUAAUACGUAGGUGGCAAGCGUUGUCCGGAUUUAUUGGGCGUAAAGCGAGCGCAGGCGGUUUUUUAAGUCUGAUGUGAAAGCCUUCGGCUCAACCGAAGAAGUGCAUCGGAAACUGGGAAACUUGAGUGCAGAAGAGGACAGUGGAACUCCAUGUGUAGCGGUGAAAUGCGUAGAUAUAUGGAAGAACACCAGUGGCGAAGGCGGCUGUCUGGUCUGUAACUGACGCUGAGGCUCGAAAGUAUGGGUAGCAAACAGGAUUAGAUACCCUGGUAGUCCAUACCGUAAACGAUGAAUGCUAAGUGUUGGA